rnacentral:sRNA from 20 species
UGCCGCAGCCCUUCCUGGGCGUUUCCUCCCUAAACUUGGGCCCUGGUUCGCCAGGGCCCCUUUUUUUGUCCAAA